rnacentral:rRNA from 1 species
UACGGAGGAUGCAAGCGUUAUCCGGAAUGAUUGGGCGUAAAGCGUCCGCAGGUGGCAAUGUAAGUCUGCUGUCAAAGCGUCUGGCUCAACCAGAUAAAGGCAGUGGAAACUACAUAGCUAGAGUAAGGUAGGGGUAGAGGGAAUUCCUGGUGUAGCGGUGAAAUGCGUAGAGAUCAGGAAGAACACCGGUGGCGAAAGCGCUCUGCUGGACAUUAACUGGCACUGAGGGACGAAAGCUAGGGGAGCGAAUGGG